GACGGAGGAUGCAAGCGUUAUCCGGAAUGAUUGGGCGUAAAGCGUCUGCAGGUGGCAGUUCAAGUCUGCUGUCAAAGACCGGGGCUUAACUUCGGAAAGGCAGUGGAAACUGAACAGCUAGAGUAUGGUAGGGGCAGAGGGAAUUCCUGGUGUAGCGGUGAAAUGCGUAGAGAUCCGGAGGAACACCAGUGGCGCAGGCGGCUCUCUGGGUCGGCCCUGACGCUGAGGCGCGAAAGCGUGGGGAGCGAACGGG
rnacentral:rRNA from 1 species